rnacentral:rRNA from 1 species
CGAACGUAGGUAACCUGCCCAUGUGUCCGGGAUAACUGCUGGGAACGGUAGCUAAAACCGGAUAGGUAUACAGAGCGCAUGCUCAGUAUAUUAAAGCGCCCAUCAAGGCGUGAACAUGGAUGGACCUGCGGCGCAUUAGCUAGUUGGUGAGGUAACGGCCCACCAAGGCGAUGAUGCGUAGCCGGCCUGAGAGGGUAAACGGCCACAUUGGGACUGAGACACGGCCCAA